UACAGAGGGUGCGAGCGUUGUCCGGAAUCACUGGGCGUAAAGGGCGCGUAGGUGGUUUGAUAAGUGUGUGGUGAAAGCCCGGGGCUCAACCCCGGGUCUGCCAUGCAAACUGCUGAACUUGAGCAUACUAGAGGCAGGUUGAAUUCCGGGUGUAGCGGUGGAAUGCGUAGAGAUCCGGAAGAACACCGGUGGCGAAGGCGGCCUGCUGGGGUAGUGCUGACACUGAGGCGCGACGAGCGUGGGGAGCAAACAGG
rnacentral:rRNA from 1 species